rnacentral:misc_RNA from 1 species
GAAACGAUGAGCACAUUAAAGUGGUAGGAGAUAAAAAAGGUGAGAGAUGGACGUAAGUGACUUGGAGGGAAGUGGUGAGAAAGGAUUUAGCAAACUCUAGAUCUUUUUGAAGAGGUAGCCCUAAAAUCAGUUGGAAUGGAGGAACCCAUGUAGUCAACUCCAACUAAUUUGUGAUUAGGGCUUAGGUUGAGUUGACUUGAGCAGAUGUUGAGUGUUUGUUUUAAACUAGUUUCUUAUGCUUACUGCACUUGGGGG